GCGAGCCCAUCCAUAGAUUCAUCUCUCCUCCCUGCGUUAGGGUUCCACUCCCAUUCCUCCUCCGGCCGCCACCUCCGCAUCGACCUCCUCGGUUGCCAUGGUGAUGGAUGACCACCAACUCCGGCUACUCCAGAUCCCUCCGCCUAUCCACCCCGAGGAUCCGGAUUCUCCUCUCCCGGAGACCAUCCUCAUCGACUCCUUCGGCUACCUCAGCGACCGCACCAACGCCACCACCGCCCGUGGCCGCAGGAGCAGGACCAAGAAGAAGGGCAAGCGCAUCCUGGUCACCUUCUGGCCGGCUGCCCCGCCGCGCGUCUCCUGCUUCACCGUCCACUGCCCAGAUCUGAAGCCCGAUGCAUUCGCUGACAUGCCCAAGAUCUCCUAUACGGAGGAUGGCCUCGUCCUGCUCCGCAUCACCAUCUGCCCCGAGCGCCAGCACGUGUACACCAAGAACAUUCGCUACUUCGUCUACCAGGCCGGCACCAAGAAGACGCCGCCGUCGGUCAAGCUCGUCCACUGUCCCCCCUACUUCAGGAUCUACGACCAAGAGGUUGCCUUACUGCACUGCCACGACCAAGAGAUGUUCUUCAUCGCCGUGCUCCGCAGGGCCUUCAUUGAGCGGGAGUACACCGACGGGCACUUUAAUCUCCACCUGUACAACUCCAAGACAAAGGCAUGGAGCACCAAGUUGAUGCUUCUUGAUUCGCCCAAGGAUUUUGAGUUCCAGUCUCCCAACAAGGGGAUCACCAUUGGAGGGGAGCUUGGUUCAGUGGGUUGGGUCGACCUCGGGCGGGGCAUUAUCAUCUGUGACCUUCUCCUCCUUGACAGCAACCAGAGUCUUCGCUACAUCCCGCUACCUUCGCCGCUGUCGCCCGAUCCGCUCAUUGGUUAUCCGUUGUAUGUUCAGAACAUCACUGUUCUCCAAGGUUACAUCAAGUAUUUUGAGAUGCACAAUAACGUCAGACCGGGCUCAGACACUGGAAGCUCCCCGAUAUCUCAAGGUUGGAUUGCUGCAACAAAAAAAUUAAAAAUUUCAAGCAUUGGUUCCACUUCUGAUAGCAGCAACUGGGAGGAGGACUGCACUAUCAGAUGCCCAGAUGAUGUACCAUUGGAUAACCCUGUGUAUGCCCAAAUGCUACUACCUAAUCUGCAGGAGCGUGGUGAUGAUACCAAGCCAAACCUCAAGAGAACUUGUCUAGGCUAUCCUGCUCUUAGCUUGCAUGACGGUGAUGUUGUUUACCUUAUGCACAUGCCUGAUACCCUUGGGGAUAAGGCCUGUGUUAUUGCUCUUGAUAUGAGGAACAAGGCUGUAAAAGGCGUGGCUAAUUUUGGCGGCUCUGGAAGACCCCUGGGUCAUUGUUUCACCUACUUUCCCAGUGGGAUCUCCAAGCAUCUGGGCAUUUUCUCAUCAACCAGGUAAUUUCGUUAAGAGCUUUCAUAUCCUUUCGUAGCAAAAUGAUUUACAAACUGAAGUAUCAGAGGUAAACCAACUUGUACUGGCAGCAGAGAGUACUUUGGGUACUUGUACUGAGUGGAUGUAGAUUUGUUACAUCUAUGCUUUUAUUAUGCUGUGCAAGUUAAUAUCACAAAAGAAUGUGUUCCAUCUUUCAUUACAAUUCUGGUUUUCAUUAUUUAUUAUUUCAUUUGAUCAUGUGCAGCUACCAGCUAGUAUUCUUUAGAUCUACCUGAUUUGUUGUUUCAAAAUAACUACUGUAUUUGUUUGAGGACGGUGAACAUUGUGCCUGCAUUUAUCUCGCUAGCAUUUACUUUUCUGUCCAUAAAUUCAGCACUUACUGCUUCCCUGUCACCACAUUUAAAUUCCGUGGUUUCUGUUUGAUUAGAUGUAUAAAAAAGGCUUCAUUCAACAGACAAAAUAACAAAAGUAAAGACAGUGUCCAGCUUAACUUCACCGCAUUGUUCCCUAACCAAAGUUUCUGCUUGCUUAUGGUGUGUUGCACAUGAAUGAUUUCAUUAGUGCGCCAUGUGCUGUAUCUUGCACGCCAUGUGGUGUAACUAACCCCUAUUAAAAAUAAUUCCACAGCCAUUGUUCAAACGGUGCAAAUGUGCACCAAGGAAAUAAAAUAAUCCUAUAGUUGGCUUAUUUGAGGGGAAAAUAUUGCACACCAUUGGUAGGCUAUCUCAUACCCAGGAUUCAGCUUUCAUGCAUUGCGUCUUUCGUGCCAUACUAUUUCCUGGGCCAUUGUCAGAACGAUAAGAUGCACUAUCUGCACGAAUUAAGCAAUGUUUUCUUUUGUUGUGCGCAGCUUUUGGUAGAUAAUCUUGCUUUUGUAUUAAAUGUUUAUUUCUUUUGUGGGAACCGAAAAGUUUCCAUCGCACACAAAAUAAGCAAAGUGUAAGCCUAACCCAGCUGUUUUUCGCUGGACAAAAUGGGCAAUCCCUAUGGUUGGCUUAUUUGAGGGGAAAUGUUGCAGUGGCUCCAUGGCUCCUGUAAAAAUGGCAGUACAUUUAGGUCCCUGUACCUCAUAUUAGUUGUAAUUCUAGUUUUGUUCAAAGACAAACCUUUCUUUCUAUCUGUAACUACCGAUUUCUAGAAAUGCGCAUAGUUUAGUGUAACUCCAUUUUUCACCCCCUAGUUUAACAAUUGGCCCAUUUAGCAGAAAUUCUUCCCACUUGCCCCAUUUAGUAAAAGUUGUGCCAGCUUUCACCUCCUUUUAAACAUUACCCAUCUACUACCCCUAUAAAAGAAAGAAAGAGGCAGAUCCAAAUAAUCUCAGCCGCCUAAUCACACGAUCUAAUGGUUCACAAUCUCUCUGUGUUUAACGCUAGCAAGCCACUAACCCGUCGACUGAUAGUAGAUGCCUCUUCGUUAAAGAAAACUACUCCGCACGAACGAACCACGAUCUCUAUCCUGCUUCUCCUGUGUAACCUCCGCCCUCUCCUCCUGUGCACGGUGCGCCGCCCGCUCCUUGCCCAGCGGAUGCGCCGGCACGGGUUGCUGCCGCCGCUCUAAUCGCCCGUCGCUGCCCGCUCCAGUCGGCCUCUGCCGCCGCCCGCUCCUUCUGUGUUGCCCAGUGGACGCGCCAGCACGGGCUACCACCGCCACUCGCCGAUCCUCCACUCCGCCGCCGCUCAAAUUGCCCGUCACCCCCCGCUCCAGUCGGCCUCUGCCGCCGACCCUCCGCUCCUCCGCCGUCGCCGCUGAACUCUGCUUCCGUCGCGGCUGACUCUGAUCCCCCACUUCGACGGUGGCCACCUAUACGGAGAUAUUUGCCAGUGGCGAUCUACAACCGGCCAGCCGUAUCACGGUUCAUGUUUUUGUUGGUUCGGAGUGCCCUUUCCACUGGAAUUUAUUGUGAUGAAUCGAUCUGGCCAUAUCCUGACUGAACAUAAAAAGUCUGAUGUAUCAAACUGGCCACAUCCUUUUACACUUAUUGAUUGAUAUAAGUAAUCUUCUUUGCAAUUUGCUGUACAAAUCAAUCUAGCUGAGUUUUGUAGUUGAUCCCAUUAAGUGUAAUAUUAAUCUUAGAAGGUCUUUGACUAAUUUUAGAGUUGAGUUUAAGAUCCCUAAGAGGUUUCCAACAGCAAACAGAUUUAGGUGCUGUAGUGAUUGGUCAAUGUUGCUAUGUCAGAAGUGCUUUCGGUUAUAGCAACAUGCACGUACCAGUGGUUGGAAACAGAUGGUAAUCAUCUUAACUAUGAGCAAGUAGGUCGGAACUAUGAGCAAGUAGGUCACGUUUAAGAUCUCAAGGAUUCAGUGAUGUUGGAUCUAAUAGUUGGACUUCACCGCCUUCUCAAUUUAUAUAGGUGAGCACUGUUGCUUGCUGACUCACACAGCAGGAAUUAGGCGGGUUGUGGCGAACGAGGAACCAAGAGGGGCGGAAACUGUAGCUAUACAACUGCGGAAUUGAUCAAUACGAGCAUGCUUUGUGUAGCCAGGGAGAGCGCCGAGGGUGCUGGUCUGUGGCACCAGAAGAGGUGAACUCUCAACGAGAUACUAAUCAAUGGUGAAGUAUUUAGAUCAGUUCUACAACCAACUCAUGUGCUUAUAACUGUAGCUUUUGUUCAAACCUCAGUUGUAGGUAAGCUACAUUGCCAAGUGCAAAUCCUCAUCUUACUACAGUUUUCAACUUUUCAUUGAUUUUCUAUUUUGGAUUGUAUUUCCAUUUUGGGCCCCAUUUUUGACUGUAGCUUUUGUUCUGACCCCACUUGUACGCAAUGUAAUUUGCAGCCAUGAUGCUACAUUGCCAAUAUUUUAGAAAACUGUAAUUUGCUGCCAUGAUGUUACGCACGUGCAGGUCUAUGGUAGUGGUACGAAUUUGGGGGUACAUCUCCUCGCACUCAGGUGGAAAAAAUUCCUCGCCCUCAAGUCCAACUAAUUCAGGACCUGCAUCUCUGAUAUACCGUGGUUGGUUCCUUCCUCGAUGCCUUCUCUCUUGACAAUCGAUGAAAUACACAACUAGCUUGCACAUAUUUAAGAAGCACGUACAGUUUCAUUGUGUAAAAAAUAGUAGCAGGUGGGUAUUUUAGCAGUUCAGCUAUCUGAAAGAGAAAAUGAGUUGCUUCAGCAGAAAACCGAGGUCAUGACAUUAGCCACUUCACUGAAACCGGUCAGUUCAUCACUUCAUCUUUGUUCGUUGGUAAGAUCUGUAUUCUGUUGACCUUUGUAAACACAUUUUAGUAUCAUUAUCCAUUCAGUGUUCUGUUUACAGUGUACUAUUAAAUGCCAUUUUCCAUGUGUAUUUUUGUUGAUUGCUGUUGGAUUUGGAGGCAAACUAAUUUCCUCCUAAAGUAUGAAUUAUCUGCCAUGUGUAUGACUUUGAAAUCUUCAGUUUGAAAUUAUGAAAGUUUGUUCCGCUCUUACAUUAAGCAAGUGUCUAGAGGAAGUUUUGCUUUUGUUUAGGCUCGAGAAACAAACUAUCACGCAGUAUUGUGAAUUUGAAAUGGUGCUCUUCUCUUCCAAAAAUGCAUAGCAAAAUUUCAGGGACCUGCAGAUAGUUUCUUGAGUAACAAAAUUUAGGAGGCCUGACUAAUUUUAUUAUGAUAGUUCAGACAUGCUGCCAAUGAAAUUCACCCUUUACAGAAAACAGCAAGUUGUUUACUCAUGUGUUGUUCUGUUAUUAGACUGUAGGGAUAAGUUACCUUUUAGUUUUUACUACACCAAGGUUAAAGCUUUGUUUUCUUUUCAUAGCUGCGCCAUUUUCUUCUACAAUUUACAGAUAUUCUUUUUUUUUUGAGAGUACGCCAAAGGCAUACUUUUAUAGAAGAGAGAAAAUACAAUGUACAAGAAGCCUCGAAAUGGAUGCGAACAUCCACUCUCGACCACACCCCAGUACAACCAAAGCAGGUGUACUCUAAACACCCCAUUACAGAUAAUUAUUUACAGAUGUUCUCAUAGAUUUGGGAUGUAACAAUGGUUAACCUGCUCUUCAUGUUUUUUGAUAAUUGCUUUGACCAUCUGUUAAUUAGGCAUUACUAUGUAUCCGGCUUUUUCUAAGAUAUCUUUUAUGCCAUCAUGGCACUGAACCAUGAGUGAAGCAAUGAUGUAAACAACUCUGGGGUAUAACCAUUUGGCUGCUGGACUAAACAUUACAUAUUUAGUAACUAUUUCAAAACACAAAAUUUCAUGAUGAAAAAAUCAGCUUGUCCAUUUUCUUUUAUGGCUUGACUCUGUUCAAUCUUACAGAGAAAGGGACUGUUUUCUUCUUUUGUGACAUGACAGGAAGCAAGGUCAUGUGUAAGACGGAGGAGGAAACUGAUUUGGCUCUUCAUCACGUUGAGACUGUUGCAGCCAUGGGUGAUGUGUCAAUUUCUAUGAUGGGACAAAGGGUAGAAUCAGGAUGAUAUGGCUAAGAAAAUAGUAGCAAAUAAGUGACUACUAGGGUGUCCGUACUAGCAACAUAAGUUACAUAAAUUUAUUGAUCUUGAACUAAUUUGCACAUUCUCUAUUUAUCCGUAAUUUAGUUUUGCUUCCAUCCGAAAAACAUUAUAAAUCAGUAAUAAAGAUAUGUACGGAUGAAAAACUAUGUAAAUAUUAGACAACUAUUUAUUAACAAUUAUUUGAUGUCGA